rnacentral:rRNA from 1 species
CAGUCGCCGCGGUAAUACGAAGGGUGCAAGCGUUACUCGGAAUUACUGGGCGUAAAGCGUGCGUAGGUGGUGGUUUAAGUCCGUUGUGAAAGCCCUGGGCUCAACCUGGGAAUUGCAGUGGAUACUGGGUCACUAGAGUGUGGUAGAGGAUAGUGGAAUUUCCGGUGUAGCAGUGAAAUGCGUAGAGAUCUGGAGGAAUACCGAUGGCGAAGGCAGCCAUCUGGCCUAAUACUGACGCUGAGGUACGAAAGCAUGGGGAGCAAACAGGAUUAGAUACCCCCGUAGUCCCUGUCUCUUAUAC